GUCUCCAGCCAUGCCACCCUGGACAUACCCAAUCUCGUCUGAUCUCGGAAUCUAAGCAGGGUUGGGCCUGGUUAGUGCUUGGAUGGGAUACCACCUAGGAAGACUGGAUGCUGUAGGCG
rnacentral:rRNA from 1 species